GUGAAGAACGCAGCGAAAUGCGAUAAGUAAUGUGAAUUGCAGAAUUCAGUGAAUCAUCGAAUCUUUGAACGCACAUUGCGCCCCUUGGUAUUCCGAGGGGCAUGCCUGUUCGAGCGUCAUUAUAACCCCUCAAGCUCAGCUUGGUGUUGGGGCCUGCUGCACUGGCAGCCCUUAAAAUCAGUGGCGGCGCCGUCUGGCUCUAAGCGUAGUAAUUCUUCUCGCUAUGGAGUCCUGGUGGAUGCUUGCCAUCAACCCCCAAUUUUUCUAUGGUUGACCUCGGAUCAGGUAGGGAUACCCGCUGAACUUAAGCAUAUCAAUAAGCGGAGGA
rnacentral:misc_RNA from 1 species